rnacentral:rRNA from 1 species
UACGUAGGGGGCAAGCGUUGUCCGGAUUUAUUGGGCGUAAAGAGCGUGUAGGCGGCCAAGCAGGUCCGCUGUGAAAACUCGAGGCUCAACCUCGAGACGUCGGUGGAAACCGUUUGGCUAGAGUCCGGAAGAGGAGAAUGGAAUUCCCGGUGUAGCGGUGAAAUUCGUAGAUAUUCGGAAGAACACCAGUGGCGAAGGCGGCUCACUGGCCCGUUACCGACGCUCAGGCGCGACAGCGUGGGGAGCAAACAGG